UACGGAGGUGGCAAGCGUUGCUCGGAAUCACUGGGCGUAAAGGGCGCGUAGGCGGGGAGGUAAGUCGGGUGUGAAAUCCCUCGGUCCAACCGAGGAACUGCGCCCGAGACUGCUUCUCUUGAGUCCCGGAGAGGAAGAUGGAAUUCCCGGUGUAGCGGUGAAAUGUGUAGAGAUCGGGAGAAACACCGGUGGCGAAGGCGGUCUUCUGGACGGUGGCUGACGCUGAGGCGCGAAAGCGUGGGGAGCAAACGGG
rnacentral:rRNA from 1 species